rnacentral:snoRNA from 1 species
UCAAUCCAAAAAAUUAAGACACCCACAGACGCGGGUGCAGGGCUUCAGAUCACCCCCACUGUCCGGUGUGGGGAGGUGAAACCCAGGCCCCGACAGCG